CUAAAAUACCGGUUCCCAUACAAUCACUGAAGUUAAGCAAUGUCGAGCCUGGCCAGUACCUAGAUGGGUAACUGCUUGGGAAUACCAAGUGCUGUAAG